rnacentral:lncRNA from 1 species
CAAUUAAGAUUUUAAAAGAGUUAAACAGAGUUAUAAACUUUAUAGAGUUCAAUAUAUUUCAAUUGAUUUCUAUAAACUCUACAUAGAGUUUGAUUGAAUUCCUAGAUUGAUUUUAAUGGUGUUCGUUAGAGUUUUAUCAUAGAUUUUAAAAGAGUUUAUUAGAGUUCUAAAAUAUUUUUUUCUUUUUUUUUCUUUUUUUUUAGGGCUGUUUAUCUUUUUUCUAGAUUUUCAAAAGAGAAAAGUACCUUUACAAAAAC